UGUCGUUUGCUCGGAAAACACGACCCUGUGCACGUAACCUAAUCCAUCGCUGCCGGGGCGGCUCUCCAGCCGCCCCGGCCCACCGGCCGCGGCCCUCACUCGGGCCGCGUGCCGGGAAUAUUGCGCGGCAUGCGCCAAGGAACACGAUAUGCUGAGGCGGCCGGGAGAGCGCUCCGGCGCACCGCCGUCUGGCUAUGGAAAUGAAUACAUGAUGACUCUCGGCAACGGAUAUCUCGUCUCUCGCAUCGAUGAAGAACGUAGCGAAAUGCGAUACGUGGUGUGAAUUGCAGAAUCCCGCGAACCAUCGAGUCUUUGAACGCAAGUUGCGCCCGAGGGAUCCGCCCGAGGGCACGCCUGGCUCAUGGGCGUUAGAAGCCUACCCACGCUCGGUGAUUACACCCCCGAUGCGGAUCGUGGCCCUCCGAGCCCUGACGGCACGGUGGGCCUAAGUGUGCGGCCGCCGGGAGGAGCCGGGAGCGGCGAGUGGUGGAACGCUGCGUACGCCGCCCCGCGUUCCCUGCCGGCACACGGCCUUGACCGACCUUGAACGAGGAGCCUUGCCUACCACGGCGUGGCGCCUUCGGAUCGAUACCCCAGGUCAGGCGGGGCUACCCGCCCCAUACAGAAAAACCCA
rnacentral:rRNA from 1 species